UCACACAGGUGAGCCACACACAGGUGAGCCUCACACACAGUGAGCCUCACACACAGGUGAGCCUCACACACAGGUGAGCCUCACACACAGGUGAGCCUCACACAGGUGAGCCUCACACACAGGUGAGCCUCACACAGGUGAGCCUCACACACAGGUGAGCCUCACACAGGUGAGCCACACACACAGGUGAGCCACACACACAGUUGAGCCACACAGUUGAGCCGCGCUUGAGUCUGAUUGGCUGCCAAAGGCCGAACACAUGGUGCCAACGCAGUCAAUACCUAGGGGGUGUGUGUGUGUGCGUGUUUGUGUGCAUAUGUAUCUGUGUGCUUGAGAAUGUGUGUGUUAGUGAUUUUGUAAGUGUGUGCAGAAUGUCUGUGUGUGUGUGUGUUUAAGUGUGUGUGUGUGCACAUAAGUAUGUGUUUGUAUAUGUAAGAAUGUGCUAGAAUGUGUGAGUUUGUAGAAGGAGUUCAAAGAGAAUGACUAACCUUCUGGAACGGGUUAUGUUAAUGAGGUUACAUCAUGGUAUGUUAUGUUAGUUAUGGUAUGCUAUGUUAGGUCAGUUAUGUUGGGUUAGUUAUUGUACCUUAUGCUCUGUUAUGUUUGGCUAUGUUAGGUUAUGGUAUGUUUAGUCCUGUUAUGUUAUUUUAUUUUAUUUAUGUUAUGGUAUUAUGGUUACGUUAAGUUCGUAAUGUUAGGUUAUGUUAGGUCAGUUAUGUUAUGGUAUUAUGUACAUUAGGUUAUGCUUGGUUAUGGUAAUUUGCUAGUUCUGUUAUGUCAGUUAGGUUAUGUUUGGUUAGGUUAUGAUAUUAUGGUAUGUUGUGUUAGGUUAUGUUAGGGAACCUAAUGUUAAUUGUAUUAUGGUACGCUUUGUUAGUAAUGUUAUGUUAGCUAUGUUUUUGGGAUUAUUGUAUGUUACUUUAGUUGUGUUAUGGUAUUAUGGUACUAUGUUAUGUUAGUUGUGUUAUGUUAGUUGUGUUAUGGUAUCAUAGUAUUAUGGUACGUUAUGUUAUGUUAGUUGUGUUUUGGUAUUAUAGUAUGUUAUGUAGGUUAUGUUGGGUAACCUAAUGUUAGCUAUGUUAUAGUAUUAUGGUAUGUUUUGUUAGUUGUGUUUUGGUAUUAUAGUAUUAUGGUAUGGAGUAUAGACAGGUCAGCUGGUGUCCCCGGCAGCCGCCAGUGGCCCCGCCCCCACCGUCACAUACUCUGAAUAGUUUGUAGGCGCUGCGCCCCGAAACCCACAGGAGAUGACCUCACCCCGGGGGAGGGCCGGGGGAGAGGGCCGGGGGAGGGAGGGAGACGGCGAGAGGAGGGGAGGAGGAGAGGAUGUUUCCCCUACAAACAGGCUCAGAUUGCACCCUGGGAAAAUGAAAACAUGAGUCACACCACAACUCCCAAACGUAAAUACCGGGAGAGAGUUCUCUGGGAAUCUGACAUCUGACCCCGCCGCAGUGGAGGGGUUAACAAGCUCCAGCCCGCCGGUUGUCAGGACGACCGGCCCGCGGGCCAGCUGUGCGAUUGUUAGCCGCAUUCCGGGCAUUCCGCGCUAACCGCCUUAGCACCCGGCUAAUGGCUCCCACAGCCGUCUUGAAGGGGGUCUUUAUUUCCCUCCCUUACAUAACACCGCGGCGUUCGUACGUAGCUCCUCGGGCUAGCAGCAUAGCAACCGGUCACAUGGCCUCCCGGCGAUGGUCUUGUGACCUCACCCCACCUCCUCCUCCUCCUCUUCUACUCCUUAGCAAAUGCCUGGAAAACCUUCCCCCUCUGAAAUGUGUCAGACUCAAAUAGUUGAACACCUUUUCGACGUUUGGCAUCGGAUUCUACUUCUCUCCGAGUUUCCAAACACCUUCAGCCUCAAAACAUUUGCUGACUAAUUACACUUUAAUUACAGUUUACACACAACACUGAUGGCGCAGAGUUCAGGCUUAUUACGUAUCACUAGCUCUGCUUAGCGUUAGCGUUGGUCUGUUUAUUUUUAACCGACUAGCGGCUGGAGUACGGCGAGGUGGGGUUACCUGAGGUGAGCGUGGGCAGGAAUCUUUAUUUGAGGUAUUAAAGUAUUAAGGUCUCGUUAGCCAUCAUCACUCCAACAUAUCCACACAUGUCGACGUCGUCUCAGAGCACUAAACUUGUUUGUUUAUGUGCUACGUUCGCCCUCUAGCGAGGACCAGCUACCGCCAACAAUGGCUCCUUGCUGGGCCUAGCGCUCAGUAGCGCUAGCCUGUAGCUUGUGUUAACUCGAGUAUGUUAGUUAGCCUGUGUUCACUAGCGUGUGUUCACUAACCUGUGAUCACUAACCUGUGUUCACUAGCCUGUAUUCAGUAGGAUGUGUUAGCUAACCUGUGAUCACUAACCUGUGUUCACUAGCCUGUAUUCACUAGGGUGUGUUAGCUAACCUGUGUUCACUAACCUUUGUUCACUAGAGUAAUAGCUAGAGUGUGUGUAUGAUUGUGUGUACGAGUGUGUGUUACCGGUUGUCAUGAUUUCUGACGGCUGUUAGCUAGUGUGUGUUGGCUAGCCUGUGGCUGUGUGGCUGUGUGUGUGUGUGUGUGUGUGUGUGUGUGUGUGUGUGUGUGUGUGUGUGUGUGUGUGUGUGUGUGUGUGUGUGUGUGUGUGUGUGUGUGUGUGUGUGUGUGUGUGUGUGUGUGUUUGGGGUCUGAUGAUGCUUUGCGUGUGUG